rnacentral:rRNA from 1 species
AGAACGAACGCUGGCGGCAUGCCUAACACAUGCAAGUCGAACGAGACCUUCGGGUCUAGUGGCGCACGGGUGCGUAACGCGUGGGAAUCUGCCCUUAGGUACGGAAUAACAGUGAGAAAUUACUGCUAAUACCGUAUGAUGUCUUCGGACCAAAGAUUUAUCGCCUAGGGAUGAGCCCGCGUAGGAUUAGCUAGUUGGUGGGGUAAAGGCCUACCAAGGCGACGAUCCUUAGCUGGUCUGAGAGGAUGAUCAGCCACACUGGGACUGAGACACGGCCCAGACUCCUACGGGAGGCAGCAGUGGGAAUAUUGGACAAUGGGCGAAAGCCUGAUCCAGCAAUGCCGCGUGAGUGAAGAAGGCCUUCGGGUUGUAAAGCUCUUUUACCCGGGAAGAUAAUGACUGUACCGGGAGAAGUAAGCCCCGGCUAACUCCGCGCCAGCAGCCGC